UACGGGGGGGGCUAGCGUUGUUCGGAAUUACUGGGCGUAAAGGGCGCGUAGGCGGCCUACUAAGUCGGACGUGAAAUCCCUCGGCUCAACCGGGGAACUGCGUCCGAUACUGGUGGGCUCGAAUCCGGGAGAGGGAUGUGGAAUUCCAGGUGUAGCGGUGAAAUGCGUAGAUAUCUGGAGGAACACCGGUGGCGAAGGCGGCAUCCUGGACCGGUAUUGACGCUGAUGCGCGAAAGCCAGGGGAGCAAACAGG
rnacentral:rRNA from 1 species